GAGCUGUUCAUAAGUGGAAUGGACCAGGCUGCCUUUCCAAGUGGUAGGUUCCCUGAAGUUCUUCAGACAAUUGUUAGGUCAUCACUCAAUGGGGAUGUUGCUAUUUAAAGUCUUCUUUUUUCUGGUCUGAAUUGGACUAGAUGACUUCUGGAGCCCCUUCCAACUCUGAGACUCAUCCAUGAUUCUCUGAUGAGUCACAAAACAUAUCACCAGAGGUAUUAGGAAAAGGGGUGGAAGGACAGUUCUUCCUGGUCUGCCCAGGACAUUAUUGUCCCUUCCUUGGGACAACCCAGCCUCUCCUGUGCCCACCAAACUCUUCUGCUGGUACCCUUGGACAAACCAAGUGCCAGGACUGUGGAGAGGGAGGCCAAUGUGUGGAUGGUGAACACCAAGAGGAAGCACUCAUUCAGUCUACAGAGCCACCUCCAUCAGAAAAAGAAGAGCAUAAGUGUCCACUUUGCCCAUCAGGUAAAAUAGGUGUCCCCAGCACCAGCACCUCAGAAAAGAAAUGUUGAGGGAAGAGAAUUGGAGCAGGAAAAAGACUCAGUAUCCUGAGAGAUCUGGAAAGGAAAAAAGAAACCCACUACAUGGCCAAAAUUUAGCAAGAGAACAGCAGAAUGGAAGGAGAGGGGAGGAAGUUAGAGCCUGAGAACAUCUUUCUCGAAAGGACCAUGACAUGCAAGUAUUACAAUGAUGAAACGUCAACCCCAAAUUUCAAAUUCUUCCAUCCCUACUAUAAAAGUAAUUUUGCCCAGGACCUUCCACCAUCCCUAAUACUUCCUCUCUUCCAUGAGCACUAUAGCAUUCAAUGUGCAAAGAUCUUUCCACAGGAUCUGGGGUGUUCAGACUUCCCAAAAAUCCCAAAUGGUACCCUUCACUCCAGAGCUGUAUCCUUGAACAGGUCACUUCUCCCCUGAUGGCAUCACCAUCCCUCCAUGCCCAUCUGGAAGCUUUGAAGCCCAGAAAGAGAGCCCACAGCUCAUCAAAGAGACCAUCUCUUGCUCAACAGACCUGGGAAUGUGUCUACGGUGCCCAGCUGGACAUUUCUGUCCCAAGGGAGCCACCUACCCCAGCCCAUGCCAAGCUGGCACAUUCAGCCCUCUCCCUGGACAAGAUGAAGCGGCAGAUUGCAUUCCAUGCCCAGCAGGCAGAGCCUGUACCCAGACUGGGCUGGCCCAGCCAGACUCAGAGUGCUUCCCGGGGUAUGUGUGUCCCAUUGGAUCCUCCAGUCCGUACUCCCUCAACAAUGCCUGCCCCCCAGGAACCUUCAGUGAUCGUACUGACCUCUUUGACCUGUCUCAGUGCUCUGCAACUACCCACCUUCUGCCUUUAG
rnacentral:lncRNA from 1 species